rnacentral:misc_RNA from 1 species
GUGAAUCAUCAAAUUUUUGAACGCAUAUUGCACUCUCUGGUAUUCCGGAGAGUAUGCCUGUUUGAGGGUCAUUAAAAAGAAUCUUUAACCAAUUUUAUUGGUCAAAGGAUAUGAGUGCUCCGCGUUUAUAGCGGUAGCUUGAAAUAAAUGGUCAAGUCGCAUUUAAGUCGAGACGAGUAAUAAUAUUAUUUCGCGAAAUCUUCAUUAUGUGACUAUCAAGUAUUGACGCAUACAGAUUGGGUUUGAUUGCGAUCAAUACAUAUAUUUUUGAACAUUAUCUUAAACCAGGUAGGAGUACCCG